CCUACGGGUGGCUGCAGUGAGGAAUAUUGGACAAUGGGCGAGAGCUUGAACCAGCCACGUAGCGUGAGGGAGUACUGCCCUAGGGGUUGUAAACCUCUUUUGGCGGGGAGCAAAAGCGGGACGUGUCAGGCUGGGAGAGUACCCGAAGAAAAAGAAUCGGCUAACUCCGUGCCAGCAGCCGCGGUAAUACGGAGGAUGCGAGCGUUAGCCGGAUUUAGUGGGUUUAAAGGGUGCGCAGGCGGAUUGUUAAGUCAGAGGUCAAAUCGUGGGGCUCAACCCCAGCCAGACGUUGAAACUGGGGAACUAGAGUGUGCGAGAGGUAUGCGGAAGUCGAUGUGAAGCGGUGAAAUGCAUAGAUA
rnacentral:rRNA from 1 species